rnacentral:rRNA from 1 species
CCUACGGGGUGCAGCAGUGGGGAAUAUUGCGCAAUGGGCGAAAGCCUGACGCAGCGACGCCGCGUGAGGGAUGAAGGUCUUCGGAUCGUAAACCUCUGUCAGCAGGGAAGAACGGUCCCUGUGCUAAUCAGCAGUGAAUUGACGGUACCUGCACAGGAAGCACCGGCUAACUCCGUGCCAGCAGCCGCGGUAAUACGGCGGGGGCGAGCGUUACUCGGAUUUACUGGGCGUAAAGCGCGCGUAGGCGGUAUGGCAAGUCAAGGGUGAAAUCCCCGCGCUCAACGUGGGAACUGCCUUUGAAACUGGCAGGCUGGAGUGUGGGAGAGGAUAGUGGAAUUCCAGGUGUAGGAGUGAAAUCCGUAGAUAUCUGGAGGAACAUCAGUGGCGAAGGCGACUAGCUGGAACAUAACUGACGCUGAGGAGCGAAAGCGUGGGUAGCAAACAGGAUUAGAUACCCUGGUAGUC